rnacentral:siRNA from 1 species
AGCAGUGUAGAGUGCCGUUGAUGC